GGACAAGCCUCUCCUGUCUGCCCUGGACUUUGAAAAGCAGAGCUCCACAGGAGAUCUUUCCAGCAUCUCGGGAUCAGAAGACUCAGACUCAGCCAGUGAGGAGGACUUGCAGACACUGGAUCGGGAGAGGGCUACAUUUGAGAAGUUGAGCCGACCCCCAGGCUUUUACCCUCAUCGAGUUCUUUUCCAGAAUGCCCAGGGCCAGUUUCUUUAUGCCUACCGCUGUGUCCUAGGCCCUCAUCAGGAUCCCCCAGAAGAGGCAGAACUGCUGCUACAGAACCUGCAAAGUAGAGGUCCCAGAGACUGCGUGGUGCUCAUGGCUGCAGCUGGGCACUUUGCUGGUGCUAUAUUUCAAGGAAGAGAAGUGGUGACACACAAAACUUUUCACCGCUAUACGGUUCGGGCCAAGCGGGGCACAGCCCAGGGGCUUCGGGAUGCCCGAGGUGGGCCAUCACACUCUGCUGGAGCCAACCUGAGGCGCUACAAUGAAGCCACACUAUAUAAGGUGAGUUAAGC
rnacentral:lncRNA from 1 species